rnacentral:lncRNA from 1 species
UGUGAGUGGGACAGUGUGAGUGGGGCAGUGUGAGUGGGACAGUGUGAGUGGGACAGUGUGAGUGGGGCAGUGUGAGUAUGGCAGUGUGAGUGGGGCAGUGUGAGUGGGGCAGUGUGAGACAGUGUCUGUGGGGCAGUGUGAGUAGGGCAGUGUGAGUGGGGCAGUGUGAGUGGGACAGUGUGAGUGGGGCAGUGUGAGUGGGGCAGUGUGAGUGGGGCAGUGUGAGUAGGGCAGUGUGACUGGGGCAGUGUGAGUAGGGCAGUGUGAGUGGGGCAGUGUGAGUAGGGCAGUGUGAGUAGGGCAGUGUGAGUGGGGCAGUGUGAGUGGGACAGUGUGAGUGGGGCAGUGUGAGUGGGGCAGUGUGAGUGGGGCAGUGUGAGUAGGGCAGUGUGAGUAGGGCAGUGUGAGUGGGACAGUGUGAGUGGGGCAGUGUGAGUAGGGCAGUGUGAGUGGGGCAGUGUGAGUAGGGCAGUGUGAGUGGGACAGUGUGAGUGGGGCAGUGUGAGUGGGGCAGUGUGAGUGGGGCAGUGUGAGUGGGGCAGUGUGAGUGUGGCAGUGUGAGUGGGGCAGUGUGAGUGAGGCAGUGUGAAUGGGGCAGUGUGAGUAGGGCAGUGUGAGUGGGGCAGUGUGAGUGGGGCAGUGUGAGUGGGACAGUGUGAGUGGGGCAGUGUUAGUAGGGCAGUGUGAGUGGGGCAGUGUGAGUGGGGCAGUGUGAGUGGGACAGUGUGAGUAUGGCUGUGUGAGUGGGGCAGUGUGAGUAUGGCAGUGUGAGUGGGGCAGUGUGAGGCAGUGUGAGUGGGACAGUGUGAGGCAGUGUGAGUGGGGCAGUGUGAGUGGGGCAGUGUGAGUAUGGCAGUGUGAGUGGGGCAGUGUGAGUGGGGCAGUGUGAGUGAGGCAGUGUGAGUGGGACAGUGUGAGGCAGUGUGAGUGAGGCAGUGUGAGUGGGGCAGUGUGAGUAUGGCAGUGUGAGUGGGGCAGUGUGAGUAUGGCAGUGUGAGUGGGGCAGUGUGAGUAGGGCAGUGUGAGUGGGGCAGUGUGAGUGGGACAGUGUGAGUGGGGCAGUGUGAGUGGGGCAGUGUGAGUGGGGCAGUGUGAGUGGGGCAGUGUGAGUGGGGCAG